GGGCGGAUGGCGGAACUGGGAGACGCGCUAGCCUUAGGAGCUAGUGGAGCAAUCCGUGGAGGUUCAACUCCUCUUCCGCCCA
rnacentral:tRNA from 1 species